UACGUAGGGUGCGAGCGUUAAUCGGAAUUACUGGGCGUAAAGCGUGCGCAGGCGGUUCGUUGUGUCGGUGGUGAAAGCCCCGGGCUUAACCUGGGAAUGGCCAUGGAAACUGGCGAACUGGAGUGUGGCAGAGGGGGGUGGAAUUCCGCGUGUAGCAGUGAAAUGCGUAGAUAUCUGGAGGAACACCGGUGGCGAAGGCGGCAUCCUGGACCGACACUGACGCUGAGGAGCGAAAGCCAGGGGAGCAAACGGG
rnacentral:rRNA from 1 species